rnacentral:rRNA from 1 species
UACGAAGGGGGCGAGCGUUGUUCGGAAUUACUGGGCGUAAAGGGCGCGUAGGCGGUGUGUCAAGUCAGGCGUGAAAGCCCCCGGGCUCAACCUGGGAACCGCGCUUGAGACUGGCACGCUCGAGUCCGGGAGAGGAUGGUGGAAUUCCCAGUGUAGAGGUGAAAUUCGUAGAUAUUCGCAAGAACACCAGUGGCGAAGGCGGCUUACUGGUCCGGUUCUGACGCUGAGGCACGAAAGCGUGGGGAGCAAACAGG